UNUGACUUGAGUGCAGAAGGGGAGAGUGGAAUUCCAUGUGUAGCGGUGAAAUGCGUAGAUAUAUGGAGGAACACCAGUGGCGAAAGCGGCUCUCUGGUCUGUCACUGACGCUGAGGCUCGAAAGCGUGGGUAGCGAACAGGAUUAGAUACCCUGGUAGUNCACGCCGUAAACGAUGAGUGCUAGGUGUUAGGCCCUUUCCGGGGCCUAGUGCCGGAGCUAACGCAAUAAGCACUCCGCCUGGGGAGUACGACCGCAAGGUUGAAACUCAAAGGAAUUGACGGGGGCCCGCACAAGCGGUGGAGCAUGUGGUUUAAUUCGAAGCAACGCGAAGAACCUUACCAGGUCUUGACAUCCCGAUGCUAUUCUUAGAGAUAGGAAGUUACUUCGGUACAUCGGAGACAGGUGGUGCAUGGUUGUCGUCAGCUCGUGUCGUGAGAUGUUGGGUUAAGUCCCGCAACGAGCGCAACCCUUAUUGUUAGUUGCCAUCAUUAAGUUGGGCACUCUAGCGAGACUGCCGGUAAUAAACCGGAGGAAGGUGGGGAUGACGUCAAAUCAUCAUGCCCCUUAUGACCUGGGCUACACACGUGCUACAAUGGUCGGUACAACGAGUUGCGAGCCGGUGACGGCAAGCUAAUCUCUGAAAGCCGAUCUCAGUUCGGAUUGGAGGCUGCAACUCGCCUCCAUGAAGUCGGAAUCGCUAGUAAUCGCGGAUCAGCACGCCGCGGUGAAUACGUUCCCGGGCCUUGUACACACCGCCCGUCACACCACGAGAGUUUGUAACACCCGAAGUCGGUGAGGUANCCUUUUAGGG
rnacentral:rRNA from 1 species